rnacentral:lncRNA from 1 species
CGUUGCCCAUGCAGUCCGUUUUCCUCAGCCCAGACAGAUGGCAGUCAGAGGCACCAAGUCCUGACAACAGGCUACAAAUCAGUUGAGAUGAACAAAGUUAUUGUGCUGUCUGAGAGAAGUGAUCCUGAUGCCGCCUUUCUUAGAGGAGAGAGAUUCACUCUAAGAGCACUAAGAUGAAGUAAACAGAAAUUAAAUACAAUUUGGUUUCC